AAAGAAUACAGCCAAGCAGCCUCUCCCUUCCCUUCCUCUGCACUGAUCACAGCAUGGCUCCACAUGUCCCACCUUAGGGAAUGAA
rnacentral:lncRNA from 1 species